GGGAGUAGUGGCUGCAGACCUGGGCUUUUCGCUGUGCCUGUGCGGAACCCCUGCGGUCCGGGAACGCAAACUGCGGCCGCCGGAGGCUCCGACCGCCGAGAAACGGGCAGGAUGGUGAGAGGGCUGGGGCGCUAGAGAGAGAUACCCGUACCCUGAAAAGAAGUUCCUCUCUUAGGCUUAGUUAAGCUUGCGCUUGAAAUCGCCAUUCUAGGCUUUUUCCGAAGUGAUGUGGGAUUCUGAAAUAACGGUACCAUUUAGCUCUGAGAGCGGGUACUCUCUCUAUGCCUCUUCAUACGUGCGCGAAUAAAGGCUGCUCUAUCCUUGGCCAUCUUUGCCAGCACAGGCUAACAGCUAAAUCAUCAGAAUUCCUGCAUAUGGCAAACUACAGACAGUAAGAAAUUGUUUCAUCGUGAAGACAGUGAUGUUUUGGCAGCACAUUUUGCAGCACUACUGUUUGACUGUGCACAGUUUUCUCUUGAGGUUCACAUAAUGAAAGUAAAAUACCCUGUCAGCAGUUUUCAGGCUGUCCUUAAGUUCACCAGCAAAAUUCAAUUCUGUUCUGGCAGCAUAUUCUGUCAUGUUUACCUUUAAGUUCCAGUUUCUGUAAGCUCCCAAACCACUGUGCAGACUUUCAGAACAAAGCAUGGUCUAAUGGUGUGGAAGCGGCUAGGCUUCCCUCAACAACCCUUUCCACUGGUGUGCAGAAAUACUAAGUUACCAUAUGAUUGUUUUUGUAUCAGCACCAAUAUUCUUGAUGGCAAGGGAAGCUGAAGCAACUGUAGGAAAAAUAGGAAAAUUGCAAUAUAAUAAACUGGAUAAAAUAAAAUUUUGAUGGUGGGUACAGGCAGUCAGAGGAAAAUGGCAGUAUUUAAAUAACGUAAUAUACUGUCAAAAUUGAAUUGCAUUUCAUUAGACAAUAAAGAAACGCCUUAAUUGAAAAUAUGUACCCCAUGACUGUUGAUUUUAAAGUCCAGGUUAAAAACAGAACCAUUUUGUGUUUGAUGGAGAACCAAAAGUAUAAAGGCUCUGUUGCCAGUUUAACUGUGUUCUGCUGCUUUCCGUCUGUGCUACCUAUAUGACUCCCAAUAAUACAAUCUCCUCAUGGACUGAUAAUCUUGACAGUGCUUUUGUGUUAAAAACUGAUUAUAUUAAAAUAAUAACUUUAAAUUUAGAAGUGAUGUAAUUAAAUGACAAAUUGCUGCCUCUGUGUUGCUCUCAAA